rnacentral:rRNA from 1 species
UACAGAGGGUGCGAGCGUUGUUCGGAAUUAUUGGGCGUAAAGCGCUUGUAGGCGGCCUGUCAAGUCGCGUGUGAAAUCCCCUGGCUUAACCAGGGAAGUGCGCGCGAAACUGAAGGGCUUGAGUGCCGGAGAGGGUCGCGGAAUUCCCGGUGUAGAGGUGAAAUUCGUAGAUAUCGUAAGGAAGACCAGUGGCGAAGGCGGGUCUCUGGACAGUUCCUGACGCUGAGGGCACGAAGUCAGGGGAGCGAAACGGG